rnacentral:rRNA from 1 species
UGCAUAUCAAUAAGCGGAGGAAAAGAAACUAACAAGGAUUCCCCUAGUAACGGCGAGUGAAGCGGGAUGAGCUCAAAUUUGUAAUCUGGUGGACUCAGUUCAUCCGAGUUGUAAUCUAUAGAAGUGUUUUCCGCGCUGGACCGUGUCUAAGUCCCUUGGAACAGGGUGUCAGAGAGGGUGAGAAUCCCGUGCUUGAUACGACCACCAGUGCUAUGUGAUACACUUUCAACGAGUCGAGUUGUUUGGGAAUGCAGCUCAAAAUGGGUGGUAAAUUCCAUCUAAAGCUAAAUAUUGGCGAGAGACCGAUAGCGAACAAGUACCGUGAGGGAAAGAUGAAAAGCACUUUGGAAAGAGAGUUAAACAGUACGUGAAAUUGUUAAAAGGGAAACGAUUGAAGUCAGUCGUGCUCUCUGGGACUCAGCCGGUUCUUCCGGUGUACUUCCCAGUGAGCGGGUCAACAUCAGUUUAGAUCGCUGGAUAAAGGUAUUAGGAAGGUGGCUCCCUCGGGAGUGUUAUAGCCUAGUAUCGCAUACAGUGGUUUAGACUGAGGAACGCAGCUCGCCUUUAUGGCCGGGGUUCGCCCACGUCCGAGCUUAGGAUGUUGACAUAAUGGCUUUAAACGACCCGUCUUGAAACACGGACCA